rnacentral:rRNA from 1 species
GACGAACGCUGGCGGCGUGCUUAACACAUGCAAGUCGAGCGGUAAGGCCCUUUCGGGGGUACACGAGCGGCGAACGGGUGAGUAACACGUGGGUGACCUGCCCUCAGCUCUGGGAUAAGCCUGGGAAACCGGGUCUAAUACUGGAUAUGACUCCAUGACGCAUGUUGUGGGGUGAAAGCCUUGUGCGGCUGAGGAUGGGCCCGCGGCCUAUCAGCUUGUUGGUGGGGUGANGGCCUACCAAGGCGACGACGGGUAGCCGGCCUGAGAGGGCGACCGGCCACACUGGGACUGAGACACGGCCCAGACUCCUACGGGAGGCAGCAGUGGGGAAUCUUGCGCAAUGGGCGAAAGCCCUGACGCAGCGACGCCGCGUGAGGGAUGACGGCCU